GGGACUGUGGCUCAGUAGUAGAGCAUUUGCCUGGCAUGUGUGAGGCACUGGGUUCGAUUCUCAGCACCA
rnacentral:tRNA from 1 species